AAUUGCUUAAUAUUAUGGAUGCUGGGCAGAAGAUUCUAAAGUCAAUAACCACCAUAUCUCAACUUUUAAAUGCUAAAUAAGCGAUGAAUAUGCCUAGAACCAUUAAAUUUAACAAAAACUAUUAGGCUAUUCACUUCACAGACACGGGGACUACUCAGUUAGAUAAGAAAAAACGUUCACAACAGUUCCACUACCUAGGAUUUUCCGGGCCACGAAUAAAGUAAUCCAAGAAAAUUAUAAAAAAAAAAGAAGAAGCCAAGUGUAUUUUUUGUAAAUCCAUAGUCAACGAUGUAAACCAUAAUCAGCAAUUAGACGACAACUUCAUAAAAAAGAAAAAAAAAUGCCCUCACUUCAAUAUAAUCAGAGAUUACAUUAAGAAACAAAGUGCUUUAAUUAGGUAAAUAUUAUAACUGCAAGCUUCUCUCAAAACAAAGGCAGGCAACCAUAAUAAUUUUGCAGGAGAUGAUACUUUACACUUUUGAUCAAGUAAUAAAAUUGUGACUGACAUAUUUUUUGGAACAUUAUAGAAUAUUAACUAAAUAACCCACCUUGAUCCCCUCGAAUGCAGACCAAUCUCUCAACACAUCUGGGUAUAAUGCAACUACAGCUACUAAACAGGAGUUGAAGAUGUCACCGAUAAAAAAUUUAGCAGUCCAUGAAUCACAGGUAGAACAUCGUUAAUAAACAUCAACACAAUCUUACCAUAUAUGAAACACUGGGAAACAAAUCAGCAUUUGGUAUAUACAUUCUCAAUCUUCUCAGGUGCUACACAUUCACCUUGUGCCAACUUGAAAAUGUUUUUCUUCCAGUAGCAUCUUUUAUCUUUUCCAGUAAGAACCUUAAAUUUAUUCAGUAUUUGACACUCCAAUGGCACCAAGAAAUGUAAAAUCACAAACAGAUGGUUAUUGAAAAGAUGCAAGCUUUUACCACAUCUCCACUUGCCAUAGUUGCAUAUAUAGCAAUGUAACCUGGACCAUAUAUGCCAUUCCCAGCUUGAUUUCCCAUAAUUCCUGAAGAGUCCCUGCCCAGCCCCUCAUCAUUCCAUCUAGCAUUGUAUUUACACUUUCAUCUCUCUUCUUUCUUCCUCUCAUCCUCUGAAUUGAUCAUUGCAAGCAUUUGAGAAUGAUAUUCCUUUCUGGAAAAUCUGGAACCAUAUAUUUCAAUAUUUCAUUAUAGCUCAUUAGAUCAAAACUGCAGAGGAAUUAAGAAAAGGAAAAAUCACCCAAGAAAAAUCUGCAAUUUUACAAUUCAUUUCUUUUCCUUUUACCAUAUUUUAUUUAGUGAACUGUCCUUAACUUAAUUCAAUGAAACGCAUAUUUUAAACAGAGAUGUGUGUGCACACGGGAUAUAUUUAAUAAAGAAUAACAUAUCAGAACCACAAUAGAAGACAGGCAUUUGCAAAGUGAGAUAGACCACCAUGUGUAACACCUCCUGCCAGAUAUAGGAUCACCAGUGGCUGAUACAAAA
rnacentral:misc_RNA from 1 species